rnacentral:tRNA from 1 species
GGGGAUGUAGCUCAGUGGUAAAGCGCAUGCUUUGCAUGGAUGAGGCCCCGGGUUAAAUUCCUGACAUCUCCA